rnacentral:rRNA from 1 species
AGCCAUGCACGUGUAUGUACUUGCCGCUUCAAGGYGAAACCGCGAAUGGCUCAUUACAUCGGCCGUGGUUCCUUAGAUCGUACCUUAUUACUUGGAUAACUGUGGUAAUUCUAGAGCUAAUACAUGCAGCGGAGCUCCGCCCCUUCGGGGAACGAGCGCUUUUAUUAGACCAAGACCAAUCGGGCCUCGUGUCCGUUCUUUGUGGCGACUCUGUAUAACUUUGGGCUGAUCGCACGGGCCUGUCCCGGCGACACAUCUUUCAAGUGUCCGCCUUAUCAACUGUCGAUGGUAGGUUAUGCGCCUACCAUGGUUGUAACGGGUAACGGGGAAUCAGGGUUUGGUUCCGGAGAGGGAGCCUGAGAAACGGCUACCACAUCCAAGGAAGGCAGCAGGCGCGCAAAUUACCCACUCCCGGCACGGGGAGGUAGUGACGAAAAAUAACAAUACGGGACUCUUUUGAGACCCCGUAAUUGGAAUGAGUACACUCUAAAUCCUUUAACGAGGACCCAUUGGAGGGAAAGUCUGGUGCCAGCCGCCGCGGUAAUACCAGCUCCAAUAGCGUAUAUUAAAGUUGUUGCGGUUAAAAAGCUCGUAGUUGGAUCUCAGUUCCAGACGGGCGGUCCGCCUAACGGUGGUUACUGCUCGGCCUGAACAACCAGUCGGUUUCCCUAGAUGAUCUUUGUUGGUUGUCCUGGGUGACCGACACGUUUACUUUGAAGAAAUUAGAGUGCUCAAAGCAGGCGUAUCGCCUGAAUAAUGGUGCAUGGAAUAAUGGAAUAGGACCUCGGUUCUAUUUUGUUGGUUUUCGGAACACGAGGUAAUGAUUAAGAGGGACAGCCGGGGGCAUUCGUAUUGCGACGCUAGAGGUGAAAUUCUUGGACCGUCGCAAGACGAACUACU